CUGAGUGCCAAGGGAAGAGCUGGAAGGCCAUGGGGAGGGAGGUCAGUUCUGAAACAGUUGAGGUGGAAUCCAGACCCGGCCUGGCAGGCUCAGGAUCCAGGACUUGGAAGAUGGAGGAGGCUCGUUGUGCAGAAGGAAUAACAUUGUGCUGCCGACCCUGUGCCUUCUCCAUCAGCCUCUUACUGAGGUUUGGAAGCCACAAUAAAAUGCAAAUCGGUGGAAGCUUGAAAUUCCCAGUGUUGCCACAAAUGGAGGAUUGCGGUGAUUGUUGAACACAAGUUGAAGAACUCAACUCUAUUGCAAAUAAAAAGACAUCAGCCACAGUGAACCCAGAUAGGGUUCACUUGGUUCACAACCAAGGAUGACAAAUCUGCCAGGGCCCUGCAGAGUGGGCACUGUGCCCUGGCCAGGCCCAGGCCAUACGAGGUCUGCAGGAUGAGAAGGGCCCAGCCGUGAGAAUCCCAGGAGAGGACACAGAAGGCAAGCCCGAUGCCACAGAUCCCGGCCAAACAGAGCGUCGCUUCCGUCAUAGGCGCAUCCUCACCGGCUGCCCUUGGGUCGCUCUGUAGCAGACCUGGGCUGUUCAACAUAAAGCGCCUGCAGCCUGGAGCAUUUUUCUGUUUGCUUGCAUCCUCGUGAUGAAGUCCAGCAUGCUCCGCUGUCCUGCGUAUUUCCUGAGAAUCGGCAGCUGCAUCAGACUCAGGAUUGGCCUGAGACUGACAGGAAAUUGAAAGACAACUGGUUCCUCCCCACAGGCAGCUUGAGAGGCACAGGCUAAGGGCAGAAGUUGGACAAGCCCAGGCCCCGGAAGGCCAGUCAGGAACCACAAACACCCGACUCAUCGCUGAGGUGUCAGGGGGUUUCGUCGCAGCCACAGGGGAAGUGACUGAGACACUCAGGUUGUGAAAUGUCCAGCGGAUGGCGAGAGGACUUUCUCCCGUGCUUCCACGUUUCCUCGAGGAAUGCAGACCACUGUUGAGAACAGGUGUUCAAGAGGAAGCAAGGCUAAAUAGGUCGAGGCCCAUUUCCACACUUCCGAGCUACGCUGUGAGCCAAGACGGCGGCUCUUGCCUGUGGUUGUUGGAGGCUGAAGCGGAAGGAUGGCCUGAGCCCAGGAGGAGUCCAGGAAGGAGAAAACACUUUGCAUCAUGAGAAAGCAUGCAUUUCCCACCCUCUUUGCGGUAUCUCAGAUUGAACCGAGGGCCUUCACUGAACCACACCCUCAGCUCUCUUUAACAUCGAGGCAGUGUCUUGCUAAGUUGCCAAGGCAAGGCUCAAACUUUGUUUGGGGGGGGUGGGCACCAGAAUGGAACUCAGGACCUUGCACUUUCCAGGCAGGUGGCAGAACCACUGAGCUAAAUCCCUAGCCCCUAGGGCUCAAACUUUUAAUCCUCCUGCUUCAGCCUCCCAAGUGCUGGGAUCACAGGUGUGCGCCAUUGUGCCUAGCAGAAAAGCACAUGUCCCUAAGAAUUACUAGUUACCUAAAGGGCCUAGGGAUUGAUAACCAGAACUGCAAAGAGCAAGGGAAGCAACUCUGUAUGUGAGGAACAAGAGGCGUCUUUUAUACAGGAAGUUACAGAGUGUGAGAAGGUUUUGGGGCCAAAAGAAAGUAAAGUUUUUGUCCUUAAAGUGACUAUGAUUCCAAAGUAGGAAAGAGAGGUAGAAUACAGAACUGAGAGUUUGGAUGAACUGUGAAAGAUUUGAAGAAGUUGUAAAAGGGGCUUGGAAGGAAUGAAUAAAAAAUGUCAGGCAAACUAAAGAGGAUUCCCCCGAAUGCAGGGGUGGCAGGGAGCCUACACCUGAGUCCCCAGAAGGUGGCUUGAAGGGAAGUAUGGAACAGAGUGGGUCUCACUGCAGGUUCCAGGGGCACUGCUCUGUGACGAUCUAUGGGAAGCAGCAACCAGGCUGGUGACAAACGGGACUUUAACUGGGGACACCACACCGGAAGUGCCCAUGGUCCCCAAUUAAAUGAUGCUCUUGGGUGCCCCAUAGUCCAAGUACCUGGCAUGGACUCAAUGAGACCACAGCCGUCUGCCACGGGGGCUGUACAUGGGCAAUGCUGCAGGACAUUUGUCAGAGUCUCAUUUCCCUUUGCAACUGUGACCUAGAAGUAAUAUUUGGCUAUGACCACACAAUCUGGGAAAUUUGAAUUUCUCACAAGACUGGCCUUGUGUCUCUGGCUCCAUGACUAACAGUGUUUGGGACACGGGAAAGGAUGAUUUUUUGGGGAUGAAAUUCGUCAUUAUGUUGCUUUAUUUCCUGACUUCUAUAAUGAGGUUAACUUUAGUUUCCAGAGCUGGAUGGAACAUAAUACCAAGAGAGCAGAACAGCUAAAACUAUUAGCAAUGGAUAAGGGUCAGAAUGAUUUGCAUAUUGAAAACCGAUUUUUCAUAGAAUUAGGGCUAACAUCUCUUCGUGAGGUUACAGCCAUGGAGUCAAACUGGCCUGAAGAGAAGCGAGAACGGGGAGAUGUUGCUGAGUUACCCUGAAUACUCUAAACACCAAGGAAGUAUUUCAUGAUGUGCAGGCGACUGCUCGGUCGCGGUGGCUGCAGAAUUCUCUCCUGCUGCAUGCAGCCUGCAAAUGUCACAUGGCUCACAGAACAUGGAGGACUAGGAGCAUCAGGACUGGGCCAGGAUGGCCAGGGCCCAGGGCGCCUCCUGAGCGGGGAAGGACCUGUGCCUGUGCUGGGCCUCGGCCUGCAGUCCUGGAGCAGCUGGGCCCUCAUCCCUGUGCCCAGGGCGGUGCUGGCCGCAGUGGAGCCGCAGGCUGAGUUCCCUGCAGAGGCCCCUGGACCUGCAGGCCCGGCAGGCUGCUGGAUUGAGCAAGGUCUGGGUUUCAGGAGCCGGUUCUGUGGGGCUCUCGCGGUGCCUUUGACAGUUGUUUACUUUCAGUCUGCGCUGCUGUUGGGUUGAACGCUCGGAAUGGAUGGUGAAGGUCAGAAGGUCCUGAUCUCCCACCAACCCGAGAGCUGAGCCUCCUGUUACGAAGCCGUGGGUGGGGCCGCUGCCCGUCUGUCCUCCCAGUGCUCUGGGCGGCUGAGGUAGGAGGUCAAAAGUUUAGCAGUUUAGCCACUUUAGCAAGACCCUGUCCCUGCAACAGGAAAAGAACUGGGGAUGCAGCUCCAUGCAGAGGCUCUGGGUUGGGUCACCAGUACUGGGGAUGAUGAUGAUGAUGACAGAGAUAAAAGGGCACAUUUCAGAGAAAGGUAUUAUUCUCCCUCUUUGCAUCUUAAGUUCUCAUCCUUGAUCUUAGGAGGGAAACAUUCUAAACAGCCUGGUGCGAAUUUUCCUAGAUGUUAGUAAAUGUAAGUAUGUAC
rnacentral:lncRNA from 1 species